CAGUAGGAUAGGCGAAGCGUGCUGUUGGAGUGCACGUCCAAGCAGUGAGAUUGAGUGUUAGGCAAAUCCGGCACUCUUAAGAUUGAGCUGUGAUGGGGAGAGGAACUUGUUCCUCGAGUCGUUGAUUUCACACUGCCGAGAAAAGCCUCUAGCUAGAAUAACGGUGCCCGUACCGCAAACCGACACAGGUAGUCAAGAUGAGAAUUCUAAGGUGAGCGAGCGAACUCUCGUUAAGGAACUCGGCAAAAUGACCCCGUAACUUCGGGAGAAGGGGUGCUCUUUGAGGUUCACGCUUCGAAGAGCCGCAGUGAAUAGGCCCAAGCGACUGUUUAUCAAAAACACAGGUCUCUGCUAAACCGUAAGGUGACGUAUAGGGGCUGACGCCUGCCCGGUGCUGGAAGGUUAAGAGGAGUGGUUAGCGCAAGCGAAGCUACGAAUCGAAGCCCCAGUAAACGGCGGCCGUAACUAUAACGGUCCUAAGGUAGCGAAAUUCCUUGUCGGGUAAGUUCCGACCCGCACGAAAGGCGUAACGAUUUGGGCACUGUCUCAACGAGAGACUCGGUGAAAUCAUAGUACCGGUGAAGAUGCCGGUUACCCGCGACAGGACGGAAAGACCCCGUGGAGCUUUACUGUAGCCUGAUAUUGAAAUUCGGUACAGUUUGUACAGGAUAGGUAGGAGCCUUAGAAGCGUGAGCGCUAGCUUACGUGGAGGCAUUGGUGGGAUACUACCCUAAUUGUAUUGGAUUUCUAACCCGCAGCACUUAUCGUGCUGGGAGACAGUGUCAGGCGGGCAGUUUGACUGGGGCGGUCGCCUCCUAAAGAGUAACGGAGGCGCUCAAAGGUUCCCUCAGAAUGGUUGGAAAUCAUUCAUAGAGUGUAAAGGCAUAAGGGAGCUUGACUGCGAGACCUACAAGUCGAGCAGGGUCGAAAGACGGACUUAGUGAUCCGGUGGUUCCGCAUGGAAGGGCCAUCGCUCAACGGAUAAAAGCUACCCCGGGGAUAACAGGCUUAUCUCCCCCAAGAGUUCACAUCGACGGGGAGGUUUGGCACCUCGAUGUCGGCUCAUCGCAUCCUGGGGCUGUAGUCGGUCCCAAGGGUUGGGCUGUUCGCCCAUUAAAGCGGUACGCGAGCUGGGUUCAGAACGUCGUGAGACAGUUCGGUCCCUAUCCGUCGUGGGCGUAGGAAAUUUGAGAGGAGCUGUCCUUAGUACGAGAGGACCGGGAUGGACAUACCUCUGGUGUACCAGUUGUCGUGCCAACGGCAUAGCUGGGUAGCUAUGUAUGGACGGGAUAAGUGCUGAAAGCA
rnacentral:rRNA from 1 species